UAUAGGGUCAUUGUCCCCGGGGAGGAGGAUGAGUCAUAAUGACUCACUGGCCUUAGGGCCACCUGUUUUUGCGUCCUAGCGGGGUUAAGGGUGAUUGUCUCGGAGACCCUGCCCACCUCCAUCAGUGGGAACCACCAGGAGCCCCCCGCCCAGGUUGGGACUGCGCCCUCAGCCGACACAACCCCCACCCCACCCGAUUCUCUCUCCAUCCUCCUCAUCCAGUGCUUUGUUCUUUCUUUCUGAGCCUAUUUCCCUGGCAGCCUCGGUCUUGGUGUGUAUCCUUGGGUUUGCGUCAUUCUGGGUCUCUGAUGUUUCUGUUUCCCGGUCUCUUCCACUGCUCUCUGUGUCUGCUCACUGUCCCUCCGCGUGUCUAUCUCCGACUCUGUUUUUCUGCAUCUCUGUCUGCCUUUCCCUCGUCUCCCGGCUCUCACCUCUGGGUCCCCAUCCUCAUGGUUCUCGGGGUCCCUUAGCUCCAUGUCAGGGUCCCCUGGUGUCAGCUGGCCCUUGAGCAAGCACCUCCUGUCUGGGUCCAGAGAGCCCCACCGGCCCCACAGGCCCAGCAGAGCUGAGAUCUAGAGCCCGUGUCAAAGGGCCUGUCUCGAUCUCCCCCUGCCUGGUCAGGAUUUCUGGGACAUCCUCUGCCCGACUUUUGCCUCCUUGUCGGCCCUGGUCUCUGUGUGUCCGUCUGUAUUAUCCUGUCAACCUCUCUCUCCCUCUCAAACCUCCUUGCCCUCUCUGACCUCGCAGUAUCGUUGCUUCUGUGUGAUUAUCUUUCUCAGUCUCUCUCUCCUCCCUCCCUGUCCCGGCUCUCAGGCCUCAGGGUGGGUCUCCCUGUCCCUUCUCUCGUCCCCACUGUUGUCCCCACUGUCUGUCAUUCAGGAUAGUCCACACUCCGUGGCCCCCCGUUCUUCCCUGUCUCUACUUUUCUGUUCUCCCGCUCGGCCUCACUCUGGCCUGCUCUCCCGAGUGUCUCUCUGUCUCACUCCUCCUGCCUUUGUUCCUGACUCUCUCUCUCAGAGCCUUUGUCCCUCCCUUUCUCUGAGCCUGGGACAGGGGUGUGUGUGACAGCUCAGAGACAUCCUGUCCCCCCCACACCCCUCCCUCACCCCCUCUGACCCGCUGCCCCCCUCCCUCCCCCUUCCAAACUUAGACCAGCUUGGACUCUGGGCUCUGGUCCCAGGACAGAGGGGACAAAACGUAUUGUGAACCCCCAAGGGCCAGGCCUGAGGGCAGUGGGAAAAGGGGAGACAGGCCCCUUCACAUACCUUACUUGGGAUGGGAUAUCCAGAGCUCCGUGCAUUCUGUCUUCCUCCAUGGGAUGGGGGUCUGGCCUCCAGGAACCAGAGAGACCAUUCCCAAAGUCCCGUUCUUUAAUACUGAGCCCCCAGUCCCUCCUCCCUCAGACCAGGAGUCCAGGCCCCCAGUCCCUCCUCCCUCAGACCAGGAGUCCAGGCUCCCAGCCCCUCCUCCCUCAGACCCAGGAGUCCAGGCACCCAGACCCUCCUUCCUCAAACCCAGGAGUCCAGGCCCCCAGCCCCUCCUCCCUCACAGGAGUCCAGACUCCAGACCCUCCUCCCUCAGACCCAGGAGUCCAGACCCCCCAACCCCCUCCUCCCUCAGACCCAGGAGUCCAGGCACCCAGACCCUCCUUCCUCAAACCCAGGAGUCCAGGCCCCCAGUCCCUCCUCCUUCAGACCCAGGAGUCCAGACUCCAGACCCUCCUCCCUCAGACCAGGUUGUCCAGAACCCAGCCCCUCCUCCCUCAGACCCAGGACUCCAGGCCCCUAGUCUCCUCCUCCCUCAGACCUAGGAGUCUUGGCUUCUCUUCCCUCAGACCCAGGAGUCCUGCCCCCAGCCCCUCCUCCCUCAGACCAGGUUGUCCAGAACCCAGCCCCUCCUCCCUCAGACCCAGGAGUCCUGCCCCCAGCCCCUCCGCCCUCAGACCCAGGAAUCCAGACCCCCAGCCCCUCCUCCCUCAGACCCAGGGGCUCUAAUAGCCAAGAGAUGCACCGGGCGAAAGGACUUCUUUCCUGGCCUCAGCAUCUGCUCUGAGCCUGGCUCCGUGCAGGGCGUGGGGUGGGGCUUUACCCUGGAUCCUCCCAGCCAUCCAAAAAAGGAUGGACAUUUAGCCCCAGUUUUCAGAGCAGGAAACUGAGGUUCUGAGCUGGGAUCACCUUACACAAGGUCACAGGGGGAGGAGGAGAUCGUGGGACCUGAGCCAGGUCCGAGUGACUCACAGCCCUGUUGUGUGCCCAACUCGGUUUCACUACUACUACAGCCCUGCUAUUAAUAAAGACACAGCAACAACGUUACCCAGA